UACGUAGGGAGCAAGCGUUGUCCGGAAUCAUUGGGCGUAAAGCGCGCGUAGGCGGCCCUGUAAGUCCGUUGUGAAAGUCAAAGGCUCAACCUUUGAAAGCCGAUGGAUACUGCAGGGCUAGAGUUCGGAAGAGGCGAGUGGAAUUCCUGGUGUAGCGGUGGAAUGCGCAGAUAUCAGGAGGAACACCAAUAGCGAAGGCAGCUCGCUGGGACGAUACUGACGCUAAGGCGCGAAAGCUAGGGGAGCGAACAGG
rnacentral:rRNA from 1 species